rnacentral:rRNA from 1 species
GAUGAACGCUGGCGGCGUGCCUAAUACAUGCAAGUCGAGCGAACAGACGAGGAGCUUGCUCCUCUGAUGUUAGCGGCGGACGGGUGAGUAACACGUGGAUCACCUACCUAUAAGACUGGGAUAACUUCGGGAAACCGGAUCUAAUACCGGAUAAUAUAUUGAACCGCGUGGUUCAAUAGUGAAAGACGGUUUUGCUGUCACUUAUAGAUGGAUUCUCGCCUAAUUAGCUAGUUGGUAAGGUAACGGCUUACCAAGGAAACGGUGCCUAGCCGACCCGAGAGGGGGAUCGGCCCAACGGGAACUGGGAAAAGGGCCAGACUCCUACGGGACGAAGCCGGAGGGAAUCUUCCGCAAUGGGGGAAAGUCCGAAGGAGCAACGCCGGGUGAGUGAAUAAGGCUCUCGGAUCGGAAAACCCUGUUAUUAGGGAAGAACAAAUGUGUAAGUAACUAUGCACGUCUUGACGGUACCUAAUCAGAAAGCCACGGCUAACUACGUG